rnacentral:rRNA from 1 species
GAUGAACGCUGGCGGCGUGCCUAAUACAUGCAAGUCGAACGGACAGACGAGGAGCUUGUUCCUUUGACGGUAGCGGGGGACGGGUGGGUAACAAGUGGAUAACCUACUUAUAAUUCUGGGAUAAUUACGGAAAACCGGAGAUGAUACCAGAGAAUAUAUUGAACCGCAUGGUGCAAUGGUGAAUGACGGUUUUGGUGUCACUUAUAGCUGAUUCCGCGCCGGAUUAGCUAGUUGGUAAGGUAACGGCUUACCAAGGCAACGAUGCGUAGCCGACCUGAGAGGGUGAUCGGCCACACUGGAACUGAGACACGGUCCAGACUCCUACGGGAGGCAGCAGUAGGGAAUCUUCCGCAAUGGGCGAAAGCUUGACGCAGCGACGCCGCGUGAGUGAUGAAGGUCUUCGGAUCGUAAAACUCUGUUAUUAGGGAAGAACAGCUGUGGAAGUAACUAUGCACGUCUUGACGGUACCUAAUCAGAAAGCAACGGCUAACUACGUG